AAUUCUUGGGCAAUGGGGGCAACCCUGACCGAGCAACGCCGCGUGAGUGAAGAAGGUUUUCGGAUCGUAAAGCUCUGUUGUAAGUCAAGAACGGGUGUGAGAGUGGAAAGUUCACACUGUGACGGUAGCUUACCAGAAAGGGACGGCUAAUUACGUGCCAGCAGCCGCGGUAAUACGUAGGUCCCGAGCGUUGUCCGGAUUUAUUGGGCGUAAAGCGAGCGCAGGCGGUUUGAUAAGUCUGAAGUUAAAGGCUGUGGCUCAACCAUAGUUCGCUUUGGAAACUGUCAAACUUGAGUGCAGAAGGGGAGAGUGGAAUUCCAUGUGUAGCGGUGAAAUGCGUAGAUAUAUGGAGGAACACCGGUGGCGAAAGCGGCUCUCUGGUCUGUAACUGACGCUGAGGCUCGAAAGCGUGGGGAGCGAACAGGAUUAGAUACCCUGGUAGUCCACGCCGUAAACGAUGAGUGCUAGGUGUUGGAUCCUUUCCGGGAUUCAGUGCCGCAGCUAACGCAUUAAGCACUCCGCCUGGGGAGUACGACCGCAAGGUUGAAACUCAAAGGAAUUGACGGG
rnacentral:rRNA from 1 species